rnacentral:rRNA from 1 species
GACAGAGGAGGCAAGCGUUAUCCGGAAUUAUUGGGCGUAAAGCGUCCGUAGGUGGUUUGGCAAGUCUGGGGUUAAAGCCCGGAGCCUAACUCCGGAUCGGCCCUGGAAACUGCCAGACUAGAGUAAGGUAGGGGUUGCGGGAAUUCCCGGUGUAGCGGUGAAAUGCGUAGAUAUCGGGAAGAACACCAGUGGCGAAAGCGCGCAACUGGGCCAUUACUGACACUGAGGGACGAAAGCUAGGGGAGCAAACAGG